AGUCGAGCGAAGCGCUAUGAAAGAUUCUUCGGAUGAAUUCAUUUGUGACUGAGCGGCGGACGGGUGAGUAACGCGUGGGUAACCUGCCUCAUACAGGGGGAUAACAGUUGGAAAUGACUGCUAAUACCGCAUAAGCGCACAGCUUCGCAUGAAGCGGUGUGAAAAACUCCGGUGGUAUGAGAUGGACCCGCGUCUGAUUAGCUAGUUGGUAAGGUAACGGCUUACCAAGGCGACGAUCAGUAGCCGACCUGAGAGGGUGACCGGUCACAUUGGGACUGAGACACGGCCCAAACUCCUACGGGAGGCAGCAGUGGGGAAUAUUGCACAAUGGGGGAAACCCUGAUGCAGCGACGCCGCGUGAGUGAAGAAGUAUCUCGGUAUGUAAAGCUCUAUCAGCAGGGAAGAAAAUGACGGUACCUGACUAAGAAGCCCCGGCUAACUACGUGCCAGCAGCCGCGGUAAUACGUAGGGGGCAAGCGUUAUCCGGAUUUACUGGGUGUAAAGGGAGCGUAGACGGCGGAGCAAGUCUGAAGUGAAAGCCCGGGGCUCAACCCCGGGACUGCUUUGGAAACUGUUCUGCUAGAGUGCUGGAGAGGUAAGUGGAAUUCCUAGUGUAGCGGUGAAAUGCGUAGAUAUUAGGAGGAACACCAGUGGCGAAGGCGGCUUACUGGACAGUAACUGACGUUGAGGCUCGAAAGCGUGGGGAGCAAACAGGAUUAGAUACCCUGGUAGUCCACGCCGUANACGAUGAAUGCUNGGUGUUG
rnacentral:rRNA from 1 species